AGUGAACGCUGGCGGUAGGCCUAACACAUGCGAGUCGAACGGCAGCACAGUAAGAGCUUGCUCUUACGGGUGGCGAGUGGCGGACGGGUGAGGAAUACAUCGGAAUCUACUUUUUCGUGGGGGAUAACGUAGGGAAACUUACGCUAAUACCGCAUACGACCUACGGGUGAAAGCAGGGGAUCUUCGGACCUUGCGCGAUUGAAUGAGCCGAUGUCGGAUUAGCUAGUUGGCGGGGUAAAGGCCCACCAAGGCGACGAUCCGUAGCUGGUCUGAGAGGAUGAUCAGCCACACUGAAACUGAGACACGGUCCAGACUCCUACGGGAGGCAGCAGUGGGGAAUAUUGGACAAUGGGCGCAAGCCUGAUCCAGCCAUACCGCGUGGGUGAAGAAGGCCUUCGGGUUGUAAAGCCCUUUUGUUGGGAAAGAAAAGCAGCAGGUUAAUACCCCGCUGUUCUGACGGUACCCAAAGAAUAAGCACCGGCUAACUUCGUG
rnacentral:rRNA from 1 species